CCUGCACUUGCCAAUGUCUCUCUCUUUUUAAUUUUGCGGAGAGGCUUCUGUUGGGAUUCUGAGUAGUGUUUUCAGGAAAGCAGUCCUCUCCUUAUUCUUUACGAUUCAAACCCAAGUUUAGUAACCUGGCUGGGAGGGGCUGCUGUGGCCAGCACAGCGUGUGGGAGGAAGCCACUGGCUGCAUGGGAAUGCCCUCAGCCUUGGGGACCCAGCUUCUCCCCCGGGAACAGGUGCUCGCAGGUGGUGGAGUCUCCUGUGCCGGGGGAUGUUGACUUCAGAGCCAGGAGCCAGAGGCACCCCCACGCCCUCCACAUGCUACUGACACAGGGCCUGCCGAGCUGGGCCCCACCUGCACCAGACACAGUGUGGUACCCCACUGAGGCCCUUCAUGUGUCGGUGGGGGCAGGCAUGAGGGGCAUUUUUGGCUUCCACUCUGACACAUCACCUGGGGUGGGAUCUGAGCCCAGGCUGAGGCUGUGGUCUGUAGGGUGACAUUUCCCAGUAGGUGAGGCAUGUGACUGCCCGGGUACCCGUGUCGCUGGGGUGGGCCAAGGUCCCACCUGUAACCUCCCACGACCCCUAAUGGGGUGAGGUCCAGGGACUGUGGGUUUGCGGUGGGUCGGGUGGGAGGACCCUCGCAUCUUCUGCCCCGUCCCAGCGCUGUGGGUGAGGGGCAGGAAGUCAGCCCAGGCAACCUCCCCCUGCUCUGGGAGGGGCUUAGGGACAGGACAGACCAUCCUGCCACCGAUGCCUUGUUCCUGAGCCUUUGCUGGGAGUCGGCCAGGGCAGGCGCUUGUGGAAGGAAGGUGUCCCUUAACCCCACUGCCUUGCCCACCGGACAGCUGGGACCUUUCCUCAGCAACCAGUGGAUGCGGACGUGAGCUGCCCUGGGUCAGUGCAGCUGGGCCGGGCCCCCGAGCCUGGGUCCACUCUGGACACUGGGCUGUGGGGCCUGUGGCUGGCCCAAAGGGAGCUGCCAGUUGACCAUGGGCUUUCUCUGGCUUUGUGAGGAACUGGACC
rnacentral:lncRNA from 1 species